rnacentral:misc_RNA from 1 species
GAAAUGCGAUAAGUAAUGUGAAUUGCAGAAUUCAGUGAAUCAUCAAAUCUUUGAACGCACCUUGCGCUCCUUGGUAUUCCUUGGAGCAUGCCUGUUUGAGUAUCAUGAAAUCUUCAAAGUAAAUCUUUUGUUAACUCAAUUGGUUUCUACUUUGGUAUUGGAGGUCUUUGCAGCUUCACACCUGCUCCUCUUUGUUCAUUAGCUGGAUCUCAGUGUUAUGCUUGGUUCCACUCGGCGUGAUAAGUUAUCUAUCGCUGAGGACACUGUAAAAGGUGGCCAAGGUAAAUGCAGAUGAACCGCUUCUAAUAGUCCAUUGACUUGGACAAUACUUUUAUGAUCUGAUCUCAAAUCAGGUAGGACUACCCGCUGAACUUAAGC